rnacentral:tRNA from 1 species
GGGAUUGUGGCUCAGUGGUAGAGUGCUUGCCUGAUAUGCAUGAGGCACUGGGUUUGAUUCUUAGCACCA